AGAAAAUUGUUAAUCUAAUCAUGUCAAAAAUAAAGUUUUAUGUCAUAUACAAUAUCCAAGACACUGUAUGCUCUCUCUCUCUCUCAAAAAAAGAACUUCUUAGCUAAAUUUGUCUUGUUUUAGGUAUACUUAAAUAUUGUUACAAAAAGAAUGACAACCAUAGGCUACUAGAGAACAGAGCAGUUGUUUGGGAUGACAUGAAGUUGAGAAAAUGACUUGAAAAUGAAUUUCCAUUGUUGUGUGAACUAUUGCUUUAAAUGUAGAAAUACACUUAUCUUCAAGAAACAUCUUGCAAAAACAUGUCCUUGAUCCCACAAACAUCAGCAUCCCCCACAGUCUUAAGAAAUAUCUGUAAUGCCAAGAAAACAGCUGCAGUGUGGAAACUUGGACGUUGCCUCUGGCUUCUGUUAACUCUGCUGCUCCUGACAUAUUGUUUGAACUCUCAUUCUGACGGCACCCAUCCACUGCAAAGGAUCCAUUGGUGAGCAAGUGAUGUACUGCUAAAUUUCUCCAGAUCUGUUCCAAUGAAGAAGAAAAAAACUCAUAUAUAUCUUGGAUGGCCUGAAGGUGAGUAAAUUUGCAGCAUUUUUUUACUUUUGGAUAAACUAUUCCUUUAAGUAGGAACAUCCCAAGAAGGACAGCAAUAGUUCAGAUACCCGGUCAGUGAGGUGAAGGUCUGUUGGGAUAGAUAACCAAACAGAGAUAUACAGCAAGAGAAGGUCUUUUUCACAGCUGAGAAUACUCUAUUUUUCGACACUCAAUGCGAAAACUACCCCGCUGCCAGUGAGAAAAUUACCUGCUUCGUAGCACAGGGAAUAAGAACCCUAUUCCAGACCUAUCUACAAGAUAUGCUUUCAUGCACCUACAGUAUGUAAUUGCAUUUCUAAAUGAACCACUUGUAUUAGUAAGCUUGGUAACCACCAAGCCAUUUGACCACUUGUGUACAACAGCCAUUUGCAUAUGCCACCUGCAAAGACCAAGAACAUUUGAAAUAUGGUAAUACUGGCAUGCAGGGGGGUGUCUUCUCAUUUUCAUCUUUUUCCUCAAGCACACUGUAAAAAAAAAAAACGUAAAAUAACGGUAAAAAGUCUGGCAGCAAAGUUGCCAACCACUNCGAGGCAUUGUAAAUGACUCAGUUCUACCAUGUGUCACAAGUUAUUUCUUUGACAGGCACCUGUCAUAUUGCAUUGCUCCUUGCAAUACUGCUAUGUAGAGCAUGGAUGUAACCACAUAUUAAGGACUGGGGAGGGUGGAUUUAUGAAUCAGCCAUUGAAAAAAAAAAUCUUGGUGUCUAGGGUGGGUAAAGUAGCCAAUGCUUGUUGAAAGAAAAAUAUUGUAAAGAAUUUGCAGUUCACAAAUGCAUGUUUCUACACAAUUCAUCAUAGAAGCUGUUUCCAAAUGACAGAAGACAGUUCAGUUUGCACUAAGAGUGUGAUAUCUCUGCCAGAGAAAUAUGGGCUAUUAAAUUAGAACCAGAAUAUUUUUCUGUUUACUGUAGACAGCCUAGUUUCUUCAGCUCAAGAUAGUACAGUGGUAUUUCCAUGUAAUGUUGUUUUUGAUUACUUAGACUCAAAGAAAAACUGAUUAAAUAAAUAAAUAAAAGCUGCCUUGGCAUAUAAUAUAAUAUAAUAUAAUAUAAUAUAAUAUAAUAUAAUAUAAUAUAAUAUAAUAUAAUACAAAGAACUAAAAUUACUAAAACGAAAUAAAUUAAUAUUAAAAUUAAAGGUAAGUAGAAAUAUAAAAAAUAAAUAAAAGAACUUAUAACAAUGAAACUAAUAAAUAAAAUUAAAACUGAAAUUGAAACUAAAAUAUUAAAAAGUACUAUAAUACAAUUCAAUCAAAUCACUACAACUAAACCUGAAAUAAAAUAAAAUAAACGCAAACAUUAAAAUAUAAAUAAAAACAACAAAAUUAAACAAUCAAUAAAAAAUUACUAAAACUUAUAAUAAAAUGAAAACUGAAUAUAUAAAAAUAAUGAAAAUAAUUUAAAUAUAAAAAAUCACCAUAAUAGUAUAUAAAUAAUACUAAAAUAAAAUAAGUUGAAAUACUAAAAUUACUAAAACUAAAAUAAAAAUACUUAAAAGAUAAGUACAAAUAAUAAAAAAAUCAAAAGAACAAAAGCACAUAACAUUUCUAAAACUUGUAAUUAAAAGAUAAAAAAAUAUAUAUAAAAAUAAAAGAUAAUUCAAAUAUUGAAAGAAAAUUCUAUAAUAGUAUAUACAUAAUACUAAAAUAAAAAAAAUUUAAAAAUCCCAAUUUUACCUGUUACACAGUACAGAAUUACCAUGUUUUUCUGGACAUGAACUAUGUUAAAACCAUUAUUUUGGGGGCAUUUAACAUGAUUUUAUGAUUUUGUGGUUUUCUGCCUGGCUAUUUACAAAAAAAAAAAAAAAAAAAAAAAAAACGUGUUAUUGGUACAACCAAGUGUGUGUGCAUGUUUAUUUAUUUAUUUGAAUAUAAACAAUGGUAAUACACAAUGUUUUUAAGCAUGUUACAAAAAAAAAAAAGUGUUUAAAAAUGCCAUGAUAAAACAAUGGUCCUUUUGUAAGUACCAUGGCAUACCACAAACCCGCGGUACAUUUCAAAGUACUAUAACCAUCUAAUACCAUGGUUUACCUAAAUUCCCUUUCAGUGCAUUGGUGUAGUACAUAUCAAAGUACCAUUGGUAAGACCAUCUGACACAUCACUGUACCAUGGUAACAUUAUGUAUGUUCAGGGUAAUUGAAUCAGAAUCUUCAAUGUUUUGGUACACAAGCAGAUCAUGACGGGAAGUAUGGAAGUGUUUUAUUCCAUUAGUGCAAACACACACACACAGAUUGUUAUCUCCAUCAGUAAGCCUGCUAAGUGGCAUCCGCAGGUUAAGUGUCAAUUUCAAUGCAUUUUCUUCGGCUGAGCUCUAAGUUCUGCCAUGCUCAUCAGUAGAAAUCAUCCUCGAUUAGGGCUGAAGGGGAUUUGAUCCCCAGUAAUCCAGAUUUACAUUCAUGGGUCUGGCUAUUUCAAUGGCAUUAUCAUCCUUAGUGUGGAUAAUGCCAGCGGGGCGCUAAACCCCACAAACUCUUUGAUGGCUUUGCUGACUAAUGUGCUUGGGGUGAUGCUGGUGCAGACAUCAUAGACUCUAACAAAGACACAAUACUACACAGAUAUUAGUAUAAGUAUGGAAAACAAAGGGUGUUUCAUCACAGUUCAUAGUUCAGUCAUGGAUAUAAUGACUGAAGCAGCUGGAAAGAAAAUAACAAAUGAGAUAUUUUUAAUAUCUGAAUUACUUCUCUUAGAAGGAAAAGAUUAAAUGGAGAGCAAACAAAGACAUUUGUCUAAUUAUGGGUUUCUCAAAUGUUCUCCUGAGAAAAAGACUCCCAGUAAUCUUAAUGAUCAAAUGUCUCAACUAUGUCUCAAACUGUGCUCAGAUUUGUAAAGAGACCAAAAUCUGAUAUCAAAAUCAGAUUUUAAUCAGUUCCAAUUUAAGUAUUUACUUUGUUUCAGGUGUUUUUCCUGAAAUGUCUUAGAAGAAAUAAAAAUAGAUUUAAAUAAGACAAUUGUUGACAUGCAGUGAAAAUACAGAGCUAUUAAAAGUAUGUUAUUGAAAUAAGAAUCUUAUGCUCACCAAGGCUGCAUUUAGUCGAUCAAAAAUACAGUGAACAGUAAUACUGUGAAAUAUUCAAAUGUUUGGGGUGAUAAUUAUUUUUUUUAUUUAUGAAAGAAGGCUUUAGUCAAUUGACAAAAAUACAGUAAAAAUAACAGUAAAGUUCAAAAUAGCUUCUCUAUUUGAAUAUUUCAGUGUCAUGUGGUCCUUCAGAAAUCAUUCUAAUAUGCUGAUUUGCUGCUCAAGAAGCAUUUCUUAUUUUCAUUUAUUAUAUAAAAAAAAGUUCUGCUGCUUUUUUAUGGAAUUUAUUUUUAUUUUAUUAUUAUUUAUUUAUUUUAUUUUUAAUUUUUUGGAAACUGUGAUACUUUUUUCAAGAUUUUUU
rnacentral:lncRNA from 12 species